AGCAGGCAGAAGGGAAGGCAUAAUUAAUGGGCACCCUUCAGCAGAGCUCAGAGCAGACCAAACGCCAAUGCAGAAGGCUCAAGAAAGAGGCAAACAGACUAGCCACUGCUCCAGGAUGACUGUGGCUCUUUAUGAGUGAAGAGAAAGGGUGGAGACUGAAGACAGAACUGGGGACAGUGACAGGCUUGGGGAAGAACAGCUGAUUCAGCAGUCCCAAGGGUGACAUCGCAAAAUACAUGGGUGAAGACAACCUAGUGGCCGUGACUUGGAGCACCCUUCCUCACAAUGAAGGCAUUCUGGGCCAGCCUGAAAAACAGCAUGGAAAUAAAUCACCUAAGUACAAGGGACCUCGGUGACAACGCUGUGAACAUCUAUGGAUUCCGCAUUCAAGUACUUUGUCACAACUGUCUCCACAAGUUGGUACAUCUUCUGUACAAGGCAAAGAAAACUCU
rnacentral:lncRNA from 1 species